rnacentral:rRNA from 1 species
GCACACACCCAAAUCACCCUGUAUCCCAAGACCGGCUACUUACCGAAGCUAAGCAGGACAGAGUCUGGUCAGUACUUGGAUGGGAGACCACAUGGGAAAACUAGGUUACUAUUGGAU